ACCCAGGUGGCGGAACGGUAGACGCGCUGGUCUCAAACACCAGUGAAGCAAUUCGUGCGGGUUCAAGUCCCGCCCUGGGUA
rnacentral:tRNA from 1 species